rnacentral:rRNA from 1 species
GGAGAGUGGUAGCCGAUACGAGCGCACCCUAUCCUUAGUCGCCAGCACGUAAUGGUGGGGACUCUAGGGAAACUGCCCGGGAUAACCGGAAGGAAGGUGGGGUCGACGUCAAGUCAGUAUGUCCCUUACGUUCAGGGCUACACACGUAAUACAAUGGGGAGUACAGAGGGUAGCAAUACUGCGAAGUGGAGCCAAUCCCAAAAAACUUCCCCAAGUUCGGAUUGCAGUCUGCAACUCGACUGCAUGAAGCAGGAAUCGCUAGUAAUCGCGCAUCAGCAUGGCGCGGUGAAUACGUUCCCGGGUCUUGUACACACCGCCCGUCACGCCAUGGAAGCCGGUAGCACCCAAUGUCAGUGUCCUAACCUUCGGGGAGGAACUGCUUAAGGUGAGAUUGGUAACUGGGGCGAAGUCGUAACAAGGUAGCCGUACCGGAAGGUGCGGCUGGAUUACCUCCUUUCU